GGCAGGCUUAACACAUGCAAGUCGAGGGAAAGUGUAGCAAUACAUGAAACCGGCGCACGGGUGCGAAACGCGUAUGCAACCUUUCUAUAACUGGGGCAUAGCUCGGCGAAAGUCGAAUUAAUUCCCCAUAACAAUGUGAAUCGGCAUCAAUUUACAUUUAAAGCUCCGGCGGUUAUAGGUGGGCAUGCGUAUCAUUAGCUUGUUGGUGAGGUAACGGCUCACCAAGGCUACGAUGAUUAGGGGGUCUGAGAGGAUGAUCCCCCACACUGGAACUGAGACACGGUCCAGACUCCUACGGGAGGCAGCAGUGAGGAAUAUUGGUCAAUGGGGGCAACCCUGAACCAGCCAUGCCGCGUGAAGGAUGAAGGCCCUCUGGGUUGUAAACUUCUUUUGUUCGGGACGAAACUUGGGUACGUGUACCCAACUGACGGUACUGAAUGAAUAAGCAACGGCUAACUCCGUGCCAGCAGCCGCGGUAAUACGGGGGUUGCAAGCGUUAUCCGGAUUUAUUGGGUUUAAAGGGUGCGUAGGCGGAUUUGUAAGUCAGUGGUGAAAUCCUGUCGCUUAACUAUAGAACUGCCAUUGAUACUGCUAAUCUUGAGUAUAGUUGAGGUAGGCGGAAUGUGUAGUGUAGCGGUGAAAUGCUUAGAUAUUACACAGAACACCAAUUGCGAAGGCAGCUUGCUAAACUAUAACUGACGCUGAGGCACGAAAGCAUGGGGAGCAAACAGGAUUAGAUACCCUGGUAGUCCAUGCCGUAAACUAUGAUCACUCGAUGUAUGCGAUAUACAGUAUGCGUCUAAGGGAAACCAUUAAGUGAUCCACCUGGGGAGUACGACCGCAAGGUUGAAACUCAAAGGAAUUGACGGGGGCCCGCACAAGCGGAGGAACAUGUGGUUUAAUUCGAUGAUACGCGAGGAACCUUACCUGGGCUCGAACGUGAGACGACUGCUGCUGAAAGGUGGCUUUCCUUCGGGACGUCUUACGAGGUGCUGCAUGGUUGUCGUCAGCUCGUGCCGUGAGGUGUCGGAUUAAGUUCCAUAACGAGCGCAACCCCUAUCGUUAGUUGCCAGCGGAUAAUGCCGGGGACUCUAACGAAACUGCCGGUGUAAACCGUGAGGAAGGUGGGGAUGACGUCAAAUCAGCACGGCCCUUACGUCCAGGGCUACACACGUGUUACAAUGGCAAGUACAAAGGGCAGCUACACCGCGAGGUGAUGCUAAUCUCCAAAACUUGUCUCAGUUCGGAUUGUAGUCUGAAACUCGACUACAUGAAGCUGGAUUCGCUAGUAAUCGCGCAUCAGCCAUGGCGCGGUGAAUACGUUCCCGGGCCUUGUACACACCGCCCGUCAAGCCAUGGGAGCUGGGAGUACCUAAAGUGCGUAACCGCAAGGAGCGCCCUAGGGUAAUACUGGUGACUGGGGCUAAGUCGUAACAAGGUA
rnacentral:rRNA from 1 species